AGUUUGUAGCUCACUAGACGCCAUCUAAAACUAUGGUUUCAAACAUUCCCAUGCUCGUUUAGUUUUUUUAAGUCACUUUGUAAAACUGUUUUCUUAAAGUAAUGCAUAUUGCAAAAAAGCGCACACAUAAGAUCCUGACAGGAAACAAAUAGAAAUCCCUUUAGUGCAAACUAGUCUCAUGUGAUAAAACAAGUUGUAUUUCAGUCUCACAGGAUCGAGUCUCAUCUACUUAAACACCCCAUAAUUAGCGUGCACUAGUGUCCUCGAUCUUGUCUAUUGAAGGCGCGUUACAAUGGUCACCUUUAACCUAACCAUUCCACUCUCUGUUGACUUUUCAAAUCCUGAAGAUUACUUGAUUUUUAUUUUCCAUAUCCUGUUUGCUACAGCUUCGGCUCUCCUGGCAGGGUCAGUGGUCAUCGGCAUCAUGAGCAGUAAAGCCCUGCGCUCCCAAAACCGCUUCAUCUUCAUGUUAAACACCAGCAUCAGUGACACUUUAACCGGCUGCUCUGUCUUCUACCUCGGCCUGUUUGACGUCCAAGAAGGCUAUCCGUCCCGAAACGGCACUUACUAUAUUUUACCGUCAUUUCUAGGGGUGAACGUGCUGACAUUUGUGUUUGCACAGUUCGAUAGAUACCUGGCUGUUUGUCAUCCGUUCUUCUACAGCCGGUACAUUACGCGCGGGUCUGUGAUCUGCGUCUGCGCGUUCUGCUGGAUUUAUACAUAUUUAAUUGUAACUGUUCAGGGAGUCAUCCCAGUCGCGCUUGCCGCUCAAAUGAACGCGUAUUUGGUCAUAUUUCUGCAGGUGAUCGUAGCUGUUAAAGUUUUAAUGACCAUCAAAUUGUACAUGAUCGCAAGGAAUCAGCUCAAACGCGAAGCGCCAAGCAGCGACAAGGACAGCAAGAAAGAGUCGCUGCGCAUUAUCGUGUUUGUGGUCAUUUGUUUUCUCAUUUUAUGGGGUCCGUCCUUUGUUAACAUUUCCGUGAGAUUUGUGACCAGGAAUGGACUGAAGUUCAGAAAUGAAGCCACGAAUCUAUUCGCGAUCAUGGCGCGGUUUAACGCGCUCAGCACGCCCGCGCUCUACAUCUGGGGCAGUCCGGCGUUGCGCGCGGCCGUCUGGAGCUCCGUGUGGAGUAAAAUAUUCAGAACAACGACAAGGGUGGAUUCUGGCAUUGUGAAGCCCAACAAUGAAAACAGAAUUUUCAGCAUUACGUGGAGCACCAGACAAACAUGAACACUGCAGACUCCUCUAGCUGCUGAAACAUUACAUUUAAGUCAUUAGCUAAAAAAGAAAUCAGGUUUUACUCUGACAGGCCAGUUGAUAGAAUGCCAAAAUGAUUUUUGAUGGAUCUCAGAAUCAAGGUUGGACUUGUUUACAUGUAUUUAACGGCUUAUUUUUACAGUUUGUCUUGGCCUAAAAUAUUUUAAUUAGACUUUCUCACCAUUUUAUUUAGUUUUUAUGGUUUUGAUAAAAAAACACACACACAUAACUUCACAUAUAAAAACCAAAAGAAAGCAUGAAAUGUAGGCCUACCUGUAUAGUUGACAUGUCAUUGUGUUUCUCACAUUAUUUUUUAGGUUACAUUUAUACACCAUAUCGUGAGGUUACUUUAUUUGGUACCUCAUAAAAUGCCUUUUCUGUAAAUAGUCAUGCAAGCGGCUAAGAGACGCAAUUUUGAAUUAAAAAAAAAUAAUGUUUAACAAAUAAUCUUUUUAAAUUCUUUUUUAAAUACAUACAAACCUGUAUUGCUAAGAUAAUCAUUAUAUAUUGUUUUGAAAAUGGAUUUCAGGGCCUAAUUCACUGUUUCCAAAUGUAUAACAUCUUUGUUCAUAUUUAUUUUUACAAAGAUAUGCUAUCUAAUAAUAAAGGUCAUCACAUUGAGUUUCAACAUCCAAAUGCAAUAUAAUUACUCUGUAUUUGCAUAAUUUACAAGUUAGUCAUGUAUAUUUGUAUAUAAUACAGUGACUAAACUGAAAGUUUUUUAUUGUUGUUGUUUUAGGCAAACAAAACCAUAAUCCUAAACUUUAUCGGAUUGUUUUAAUAAAACUUUUAAAAAUAUAUUCCCAUUUAUAAAGAUACAAACUUUUGACGAUUUGGAUAACAUAGCAGCAGAUUAAAGCCCAUUUCAAAACUCAAAAUGUUUAACUGUUUUGAAAGGAAUUGGUGUGAGCUGUGAGAACAGCUGAAACCGGUCUGAGAAUGAAGCUUUAUAACACUGAGACCCUAAAAAAGGGUGAGCUCAAAACCUGCAUUAUUAUUUUUUUAUGGUAUUUUGGCUUAUAUUAACAGACAAUUGUUUUUGUUGGACAAGGUUUAAUUUAAAAGUUGUUGUUAGUAAGACUAAGUUGAGAUUACUAAUUUAUUAAAUAUGACUAGUUUAUUAAUUUACUAAUUUAAAAAAUGUAAGGUCCAAGACCUCAAAAAAACUCCUUUCAGUGCUACAACUCCAGCAGAAAUCUGAGAUCUGUACCAGUGAGUGGCGUUGUCACUUUCCAGAACCUUUUAUUUCACAGUUCAGUGUUGGUGGAAGAUAUAGUGACUAUAUAGUGACUAGUUCUGAAUCUGGAAUGCAGAAUCCUUAACAAAAUUCAUGGAGUUGCCAAAACUCACCUCCUCCAUGAGCACUAAACAAUGCCUAACAUUUUUCUUAACUUCUCCCAUUCCAAUGUUACAGUUUGUAGCCCACUAGACGCCAUCUAAAACUAUGGUUUCAAACAUUCCCAUGCUCGUUUAGUUUUUUUAAGUCACUUUGUAAAACUGUUUUCUUAAAGUAAUGCAUAUUGCAAAAAAGCGCACACAUAAGAUCCUGACAGGAAACAAAUAGAAAUCCCUUUAGUGCAAACUAGUCUCAUGUGAUAAAACAAGUUGUAUUUCAGUCUCACAGGAUCGAGUCUCAUCUACUUAAACACCCCAUAAUUAGCGUGCACUAGUGUCCUCGAUCUUGUCUAUUGAAGGCGCGUUACAAUGGUCACCUUUAACCUAACCAUUCCACUCUCUGUUGACUUUUCAAAUCCUGAAGAUUACUUGAUUUUUAUUUUCCAUAUCCUGUUUGCUACAGCUUCGGCUCUCCUGGCAGGGUCAGUGGUCAUCGGCAUCAUGAGCAGUAAAGCCCUGCGCUCCCAAAACCGCUUCAUCUUCAUGUUAAACACCAGCAUCAGUGACACUUUAACCGGCUGCUCUGUCUUCUACCUCGGCCUGUUUGACGUCCAAGAAGGCUAUCCGUCCCGAAACGGCACUUACUAUAUUUUACCGUCAUUUCUAGGGGUGAACGUGCUGACAUUUGUGUUUGCACAGUUCGAUAGAUACCUGGCUGUUUGUCAUCCGUUCUUCUACAGCCGGUACAUUACGCGCGGGUCUGUGAUCUGCGUCUGCGCGUUCUGCUGGAUUUAUACAUAUUUAAUUGUAACUGUUCAGAGUGUUAUUCCAGUCGCGUUUGCCGCUCAAAUGAACGCGUAUGGGGUUAUAGUCCUGCAAGUGAUCGUGGCGGUCAAAGUUUUAAUGACCAUCAAAUUGUACAUGAUCGCGAGGAAUCAACUCAAACGCGAAGCGCCAAGCAGCGACAAGGACAGCAAGAAAGAGUCGCUGCGCAUUAUCGUGUUUGUGGUCAUUUGUUUUCUCAUUUUAUGGGGUCCGUCCUUUGUUAACAUUUCCGUGAGAUUUGUGACCAGGAAUGGACUGAAGUUCAGAAAUGAAGCCACGAAUCUAUUCGCGAUCAUGGCGCGGUUUAACGCGCUCAGCACGCCCGCGCUCUACAUCUGGGGCAGUCCAGCGUUGCGCGCGGCCGUCUGGAGCUCCGUGUGGAGUAAAAUAUUCAGAACAACGACAAGGGUGGAAGUGAAGCCCAGCAAAGGAGACAGAGUUCUCAGCAUUACGCGGAGCACCAGAGAAACAUGAACACUGCAGACUCCUCUGCUGCUGAAGCAUUGAUCCGAGCUAUCUCAGUAGAGUAGAAAAACAAUCAAUCAGGUUUGACUCUGACAGGCUUGUUGACAGAAUGCCAAAGUGGUUUUUAUUAUGUCUAUGCAUUAUUGAUAAAUCUCUGAAUCAAGGUCGGACUU